AAGGGAAACGACUUUGGACUCACGUAGGCAUAGGAGAACGAAACUUCUGUACAUUUUAAUCUGAAUAAUUCUUCAGGAUUUAAAAUUAAUUGGCUCUGGCUUGGUUGGACCGUACUCGGAUCUCGCCACCUCUGCGUUUCCCGAGUCACUGGCGAAGAGGUCCCAGUUCCUCUGGGAAUCGUCCUGUAUGCAACAUCUUCACAAGAGUGGCAGGCAGUUGAAUCUCUGGCCUUCGUGGGACCACUGGACAUCUGGCAGAGAACCAGGAAACCACGGUUCCCUUCUGUGAGUCCCUCAGCCGGAAAACUACAAGCUCCUCAUGCAGCUGCUGUCUACAGACCCCCUGGACUGCCUGGGGAAGUGAGUCGGAGCUCCUGCAGCAGAGGGGUGGAACAGCUACACGAAGAUCCGAAGGUGGCCAAAAAUAACAGCGCUUUCCAGAUGAGGGUAAUGUUAUAGCCAAGAUCAUCGCUGGGGUAGGGUGUCUUGUUCUUUGUUUUACAACCUAAAAAGUACACAGAAGACUCAAAGAUCAUUCAGGAAGGAG
rnacentral:lncRNA from 1 species